rnacentral:rRNA from 1 species
GACGGAUGGUGCAAGCGUUGUUCGGAUUGACUGGGCGUAAAGGGCGUGUAGGCGGUUGGUCAAGUCUGAUGUGAAAGCCCGGGGCUCAGCCCCGGAAGGGCAUCGGAAACUAGCCAGCUGGAGCGCGAUAGAGGAGGGUGGAAUUCCUGGUGUAGCGGUGAAAUGCGUAGAUAUCAGGAGGAACACCUGUGGUGUAGACAGCUUACUGGACCACUUCUGACGCUGAGACACGAAAGCGUGGGUAGCAAACAGG